AGAACUCAAUUUGGACUACAAAUCUACUUUCUUGGAGGUUUGUGCUGCUAAGAAAAUUUAAUGUAGCCUUGACAAGUUUUUCGAAUCAAGAUGUUAUACACUUCCACUGAAAUGAGCUUAAUGGACAUUACCAAGAUUUUCUCACUCCUCCGACCGAACGAGGAUGAAGAAGAUGGCUGUCAAGAGUUAAAUAAGGCUAUUGCUGAAGAUGAUGACAAACGUCUAGCUGAUCUGCUUUCUCAAGAAAGAUACAGAAGAUGUAUCAAUAGCAGAAGUGGCUGGGGAAUACCAAGUACACCACUAAAAACUGCGGCUGCUCACGGUCACUUGCGCUGCCUGGAAUGCCUUUUAGCUCACGGUGCAGAGGUUGACAGUCUGGAUGUGAAAGCCCAGACUCCACUGUUCUCAGCAGUCAGUGGCAAACACCUUGGGUGUGUAUCAGCUUUGCUCAAAGCUGGUGCUGACCCUAAUGGAAGCCAAUAUAACAACUGUUCACCAGUGCUAACUGCAGCCAGGGAAGGAGAUGUUGACAUUUUGAGGGAGCUGCUGUCUUAUGGUGCUGAGACAGAUGUCCGAGCCAAAGUACCAGACUGGGCAUCCAAUACAACAACAUGCCGAGGUCCUCUUUACCUCGCAGCCAUUUAUGGACACCUGGAAUGCUUUAAAAUGCUGCUGCUACAUGGUGCCGACCCAGACUACAACUGUAGGGAAGAGAAAAUACUGGCAAGGAUCAAGAAAUCAAGCACAGUGCUGGACACAUGUCUCAAAUAUGGGUGCCAAUCUGAAUAUAUUCAACUUCUUAUAGACUUCGGAGCAAAUGUCUACAUUCCAAUGGUGAUUACGGACAAAACAAGAGAGAAGGAUGAGGCUAUCAUGCUGGUGCUAAGAGAAAGAGCUUUCCCCAAAACAUUGAUGUCUCAGAUUCGGCUUGCAGUACGAAAGUACCUUUCUAAUGCGCGCAAACUGCACUUGAUAGAUGGACUGGAUAUUCCAGAAGUACUAAAAAAAUAUUUAAAACAUACUACAUGACCUACACUGUCUGUCUGCUCCUUUGUGUUAGCUUAAGAAGAUCACACACACACACACACACACACACACACACACACACACACACACACGCACACACACACACGCACACACAGUGGAAUGAAACUGGAGUACAGAGGAAACAGACCAAACACGGGAAGAACAUGCAAACUCCACAGCAAAUUCACAGACCUGAUUCAGGAAUCAAACCAUCAGCCCUGGAGUUUUUCGACGGCUCCUGUUGAGGGGUCACCACAGCAGACAAUCAAUCUGCAACUUGUCGCAGGUUUUACACCGGAUGGCCCUCCUAACACAACCCCUUCCAUUUUAUCCGGGCUUGGGACCGGGUAUUUAACCGAAAAAUGCUACCCAUCAAGUUGUGCUACAUACUGUAUCUGCGCAUGCGCAGUCCCACAAGUUUGCAUUUUUCAACGACGCCGCCCGAGCGCC